GAUUAACUUCGAGAUAUGUUUGGUUAAUUGGUGAUAGGUAACCACCACUGACCGAGCAUAUCCAGUUGUUAAUU
rnacentral:pre_miRNA from 1 species